UUGAGCUUAACUAUAUGUGUUGAAAAGGUUCAAGUUUGGGGUUGUACGGGGGAAAUUGAAAGGCAAUUGAAAAGCAUUGAGCACAAUUGUUGAGAAAGAAAAAUGCUUGAGAAACAGAAAAGAAAAGAAGAAAAGCAUGAAAAUGAGCUCAAUGUAAAAGAAAAGGGAAGAAGUUGGGAAUAAGUGAGAUUGGUGAGGAAGAGAGUUGUGCUUAAAUUUUGAAUACUAUGGUAGCUCUCUUAACUCAAGGUCUUUGCAUUCCAGAAAAACCAAUUUUUCUUGUUAGCCCAGCCUCAAUACAAGCCUUGGAAAAGUCCUUGUGAUAGCAUUUGCAUGUGAAGAUCUUGAUUGUUUUAGAUCAAUGGUAGUGUUGUUUCAUGUGACUUGUUAAUAAUAGAGAGUUGGAGUGUCACCCUAAACACUUGAGUGAUUGAGUGAAACACUUGCUUGGUGAGAAUUGCUAAAUUUCAUGCUUACAUCUUUGCUUAGUGGAUUGGUCAUUCAUAAAGUGUAACAUUUGUUGAGAAAUAUGUGAUCUAGUGAACUGAAUUGAAUUGAAAGCAUGCAUGCAUCUUGAUUUGAUUUCACUGAAGGUCUGAAAUUGUGUAGUUCUUGUCAUGUAUUUUAGGAGUGUUGAACCAUUGGAUGAAAUAGUAGAAAGCCAAGUUUUG
rnacentral:lncRNA from 1 species